rnacentral:lncRNA from 1 species
GAGCAACACGACGGGUGCCACAUCAAUGUAUUUUCGAUCUAUGAGUAAACUGUCCCUCUGGUAUCUUUCGCCCCUCUUGUGGUGUUUUUCCUAGUUAUUUUAUGGUUUCCCGCCGGCAGCCGGUCUGUAAAACUUUUACAUAAGUACAUACACUGGUAAUAUGUAUCGUGUCGUGAGAGCAUGAGAUUCAUACGGACUCCAAGUACCUCGCCCCAUGUAAGACCUCAUCACGGUUAGCAGUGGCUAUGUACGAAUUAUAAG